UCUCUCCUGAAUUUACUGCGCUAGCGACGCUCCUUCGUUCAACACGGACUGACUGGUUUCGAGCUUGGCUCGGAGAGCUUGCUGUCCCAGGCUAUUGCGCGCCCAAGUGUCCCAAAGCCCGCAUUUCUGCCGCACCGCCGGGUUAGUGAGCCCACGCUGUCAGAAGAACGCCCAGAGAUUGCUGCGGGUGAAGAACGCGUUUGGGCUCUUGCGUAGAGUUCCAGGGCCCGGAACGGGUCCCCUCCAGGCCAGGGCUUCAUUGCGUAUUUGCAUCCAUCAGGGCACAGGGCCCGGAAUCCUCUUAACACGGACUGCCUUAGCCCCCAACAACUCGGCUGUGAAAACGCAUUGUCAGUUUUCGCUGCAGGACAGAAGUCGCGCCAUCAGAAUAAAGCUACAUGGGUGAUUCCUAAAACCCUGGAAAUCCUCUCUCAGGACCCUGGAUUGAGGCUGUCCUCGCCGUGUAAAUUUGCGCAGUAGAAAUGGACGGCUCAUUUGCUGAUCUGUCCGCAGCAGCCAAAAGAGAACCAAAAAAUCCUUUAAGAAGGGAACUUGGAAGCCCAUCUGGAAUUAUAGAAGGAGACAGCCUCACAUGGAUCCCAUCUGGUGACACAGCACAGCUGCUGCCAAAGAGGAAUGGAACUGUGGCAGAUUUAAGAUGUGCUCUACAAGAAAUGCCAAAGAAUGUUCUCCAGAAUGAAGGAAAAUGACACCGGAGGGAAACUCAGAUUUAAAAGAUGUAGAGAGAGCAUUCAAAUGGACCUGGGAGCCAGCUCUGAAACAACAUCGUCAAGGAAGAUGGUGCCCCAACUCCCAGCUCCUGCGGGAAGGUAGG